ensembl:snoRNA
GUUGUGUCAUUAGAAAAUGGUACUUUCCGUGGGCCUCUCCUAGUGAACCUACUAUAGGAGCCUGCAGCCCUGAACCAUUGCCCAGCCUUCCUGCAGGUGGGCUGUGAGCACUGAAGGGGGCUGUACAGUG